rnacentral:rRNA from 1 species
CUUGCUUCUCUGAUGUUAGCGGCGGACGGGUGAGUAACACGUGGAUAACCUACCUAUAAGACUGGGAUAACUUCGGGAAACCGGAGCUAAUACCGGAUAAUAUUUUGAACCGCAUGGUUCAAAAGUAAAAGACGGUCUUGCUGUCACUUAUAGAUGGAUCCGCGCUGCAUUAGCUAGUUGGUAAGGUAACGGCUUACCAAGGCAACGAUGCAUAGCCGACCUGAGAGGGUGAUCGGCCACACUGGAACUGAGACACGGUCCAGACUCCUACGGGAGGCAGCAGUAGGGAAUCUUCCGCAAUGGGCGAAAGCCUGACGGAGCAACGCCGCGUGAGUGAUGAAGGUCUUCGGAUCGUAAAACUCUGUUAUUAGGGAAGAACAUAUGUGUAAGUAACUGUGCACAUCUUGACGGUACCUAAUCAGAAAGCCACGGCUAACUACGUGCCAGCAGCCGCGGUAAUACGUAGGUGGCAAGCGUUAUCCGGAAUUAUUGGGCGUAAAGCGCGCGUAGGCGGUUUUUUAAGUCUGAUGUGAAAGCCCACGGCUCAACCGUGGAGGGUCAUUGGAAACUGGAAAACUUGAGUGCAGAAGAGGAAAGUGGAAUUCCAUGUGUAGCGGUGAAAUGCGCAGAGAUAUGGAGGAACACCAGUGGCGAAGGCGAC